rnacentral:rRNA from 1 species
GGGUAAUACCGCACAACGUCGCAAGACCCAAGAGGGGGACCUUCGGGCCUCUUGCCAUCAGAUGUGCCCAGAUGGGAUUAGCUUGUUGGUGAGGUAACGGCUCACCAAGGCGACGAUCCCUAGCUGGUCUGAGAGGAUGACCAGCCACACUGGAACUGAGACACGGUCCAGACUCCUACGGGAGGCAGCAGUGGGGAAUAUUGCACAAUGGGCGCAAGCCUGAUGCAGCCAUGCCGCGUGUAUGAAGAAGGCCUUCGGGUUGUAAAGUACUUUCAGCGGGGAGGAAGGUGUUGUGGUUAAUAACCGCAGCAAUUGACGUUACCCGCAGAAGAAGCACCGGCUAACUCCGUGCCAGCAGCCGCUUUUAAUACGGAGGGUGCAAGCGUUAAUCGGAAUUACUGGGCGUAAAGCGCACGCAGGCGGUCUGUCAAGUCGGAUGUGAAAUCCCCGGGCUCAACCUGGGAACUGCAUUCGAAACUGGCAGGCUUGAGUCUUGUAGAGGGGGGUAGAAUUCCAGGUGUAGCGGUGAAAUGCGUAGAGAUCUGGAGGAAUACCGGUGGCGAAGGCGGCCCCCUGGACAAAGACUGACGCUCAGGUGCGAAAGCGUGGGGAGCAAACAGGAUUAGAUACCCUGGUAGUCCACGCCGUAAACGAUGUCUACUUGGAGGUUGUGCCCUUGAGGCGUGGCUUCCGGAGCUAACGCGUUAAGUAGACCGCCUGGGGAGUACGGCCGCAAGGUUAAAMNUCAAAUGAAUUGACGGGGGCCCGCACAAGCGGUGGAGCAUGUGGUUUAAUUCGAUGCAACGCGAAGAACCUUACCUGGUCUUGACAUCCACAGAACUUUCCAGAGAUGGAUUGGUGCCUUCGGGAACUGUGAGACAGGUGCUGCAUGGCUGUCGUCAGCUCGUGUUGUGAAAUGUUGGGUUAAGUCCCGCAACGAGCGCAACCCUUAUCCUUUGUUGCCAGCGGUCCGGCCGGGAACUCAAAGGAGACUGCCAGUGAUAAACUGGAGGAAGGUGGGGAUGACGUCAAGUCAUCAUGGCCCUUACGACCAGGGCUACACACGUGCUACAAUGGCGCAUACAAAGAGAAGCGACCUCGUGAGAGCAAGCGGACCUCAU